UUACAUUUAAAUAUGUAGCUAAAAUUGAUAACUUUCUGGGAAAAUAUAUAUGAUAAAUUAAAAAGAAGAAAUUGGGAAUGUAAAUAAACCAUUAAUCAUGAAAGACUUUGAAAUGGCAAUGAAAGCACUAUCCCAGAUACUUCACAAAAUUCCCAAGAUUGUAUAGAUAUGUUUUACCGACAUUUUUGGAACAGGUUAUCUUUAUAUUAAAUAAAUUGUUCUAAAAAAUAAAAAAAUGUGGGGAGCUAUUAUUCCCUCAAUCUAAACCAUGUAAACCUUGAACUGGAAAAUGAUUAUAAUUUAGUUUUAUAACUAACUAUAAAACAUAUUUAUACAAAUCCUUAGCAUAAUAUUAAGUAAUCCAAUAGCGUUUUAAAACCAAUAUAGUGUGAGUAAAUACAAUUUACUUCAAGAAUUAUUUAAUGUCUGAAAAAUCCAUCAAUAUAAAAUAUUAAUGACCUAAAGUAUCCAUCACAUUCUCACCCGGAAUGACACAAAAAACAUAGGAUCGUGAACGAUAUCUUUUAAUAAAAAAAAUAAAAGCUUUAGAAAUCUAAAACCAGCAUUUUUCUUACUAGAAAAAUGUUUUUUAAAAAAUUCUAUAGGAAAUGCUACAUUUGGAGAAAAAUUUUCUGAUGCGUUUCUUUGAAGGUUGAGAAUAAGACAAAGAUGAUUGAUGAACAUCAAUGUUCCUAUGCUACUCAAGAGUUCUCUCUUACUAAAUAAGGUAAAGAAAAGAAAGAGGAGGCCUAAAUGCUAAGCAGAAAGAGGUAUGACUGUUCUUUGUUUCAUUUCAUUUUGUAAAUUAUAUGUUCACUUACAUAGAAAAUCUAAGGGAACAAAUUUUAAAAUCAUUAGAACUAAUAAGAGAACUCAGCAAGUUUGCAAGAUUACAAAAUAAAAUCACACCCGAAACCAAUUAGAAGAUGUAAUAGAAAAUAAGAUUCCAUUUACUAUAACAACAAAAUAUAUGUUAUCUAGGAAUUAAUCGAACAAUAACUGCAUAAGGCCAUCAUAAAUGAACUUAAAAGAAGUGCUGAAUAAGUAGAAAGAUAUACAUUGUUCAUGGAUGAUAUGGCUACAUACUGUAAAGAUGUAAAUUCUCAUCAAAUCAAUUUAUAAAUCCAAUUCAACUCCAUUUAAAAUCCUUGCAGAGUUUUUUGUAUCUAGACAACUGAUUUUUUUUAAAAGACAUGAAAGCAGCUAGGUCUAUAAUUGGCUGAAACAACUUUGGAAAAUAACAAAAAUUGAUUAUUUUUUUCCUAACAGAUAUUAUAACACCAAGUCAUUGUAUAAUAUUUACAAAUAUGUGCAACAAAUGCAGAAAAACAUACAGUAUAGUGCAAUGGAAUAAAAAGCCUUAAGACCAACUUCUACAUAUAAGGCAACUUGAUGUAGGGAUGAUAUUAAAAAUCUAAAUGCAUUAUUAUGUAAAUGUUAAUUUACUAAAUGAUGUCAAGUAAUAAAUGACUCAGUACAGAGAGGAAAUUCUCUAAUACUGUUACAAAAAGAGGCUCCAAAUUUCCACCUAUGUGUGAAGGUUUGAAACCUUAAAAAAUGAUGCAAAUGUUUUUGUGGCAAUAGGGUAAAGUAACUGAUAAUAUUUAAGUUAAGGAUUUUGAAUAUAAUGACAUCAAUGACAAAUUGGGAAAGAUAUUUGUGAUAUUUUAAAUCUAACAGAGGGCUGAUUUUUAUAUAUAAUAUUUACAAAAUAGAAAAAUAAAGACUUUAAGUUAAUAAGGAAAUGUGCAUACACAACCAAUACAUGAAAGGAGAAGCUACAAUGAGUAAGGAGAAUAUAGAGAGAUGAUCUACUUCACUAGUAAGAAUAAAAUGCAACUUACAAUGUCAAUCAAAUAUUUCUAUUAGAAAGUAAAUGACACAUAAAUACCAAUUGUUUAUGAUAAUUAGGUAAAAAGGAACCCAAGAUAAACCUGAAAACCUAUUCUGAAACGCAGUAUUUUUUAUGUAUAUACUAUAGGUGUGUAAUUCCAACCAUUGGUAUAAACUCCAGAGAAGUCCCUUGGAAAUUCUGAGAGACUGAGUGAGAGUGAAGGGAGGACAUGAAAUAUUAUGCUGGGACACAGGCAUAAACCAAGUAUGUCUUAGGUGAACAAAACAGACCAUCUGGGCAUGCUAUAUAUAGAAAACUACUCAUCAUAACAGAGUUAAUGUUAGAAUAUGUUGGAUUCAGCUUAGGUGUCUGUCACUAGGAGACUCUAUAAAUAAUAUGUGGUAUAUGCAUAGACAUAUAAUGGAAUGUUAUCCAGGAGAAGUGCAGCCAAAACUAUACAUCUUAAAAAUAAAAUACAGAAUGAAAAAUAUAAGAAAGAUAAUUAUCUUUAUAACAAUACCAUUUGGUUACAUUAACACCAAAUGUAUAUAGAUGAACUCUGUGCAUGGUUUCAAAAACAUUAUAUUUAUAUAUACACAAGCAAUUUAUGAGAGAUAUAUGAAAAGAAUUUUCAGUAUAGAAAUUAGAAUGGAUACCCAUGCAGGGAGGGCAAUGUGAUUGAGAUUUAAAAAACAAGAGGAAAUAACGGAACAAAAUUAAACAUCAGAAGGGCUUUGCAUAAGCAGUUAAUGAAAUUACAAGGACAGAGUCUUUUGAGGAUUAUUUUUAUUGAUGCCAUUCAGAUGUCCAGGGGAGUGCCUGGCACAUAGUAAAUGUUCAUUAAUAUGAGUGAAUGAAGAUUAUCAUCAGAUAAAUUCUGUGUGUCCAAGAUCCUACAAAAGGAUAAUUAAAAAGAAAUAAUUUGGUUUUCCUUAUUUUACUCAUGUUAAUUUUUAAUGCAAGCUAAUACAAAAUCAACAUGCUAAACACGUAUUUGGGGGAUUAAUAUAAUGAUCAGACUAUCCAUUUUUGUGCUACUAUCAAUUGUUUUAAUUAUUCAGGCUUACAAUGUCUUGCAUCUAAUGCUUAACUAAAUUUUCUCAUUAAUUCCAAAAGUUUUUAAGCAGAUUCUCUUGGGUUUUCUUGGUGUAUAAUCACAUUGUCUACAAAUAAUGAAAAUUUUGUCUCUUCAUAAUCAUUUCAUGUCUUGUUGCAUUGUCAGAAUAUUAAUUGUGACAGCAUUUUCUUUCUUUUGUUGUUCAUAAUCGAAUUAUCACUAGUUUUUCACAUCUUAAUUAUGGCGUUGACUUCGGCUUAAUAGAGAUCUUAAGCACGCCAAAGAAAUACAUUAUGCCCAAAUAUCUAAAGUUUUACAUUUUAAAAAAUUAGAAAGUUGUUCCAUUUUUUAACUUUCAAAUCUACUGUCUCAUAAUACCUUUAUGAGAAAAUACGUGUUCAUAAUUUAAAACUCUUCUUGACAAUAUGAGACAUGUUAUCAAAUGACAAACAGGAAAUGAGGACUUUUACAUAGAAAAAUAAUGUUGCUGUGCAAAAGUUAUAGCUUAUGUUAAAUAUGGCCUUUAAAUACUUUAAAUGAAUGAAAUGAAAGGUUCUAUACAUAUGUAGAGCUAAUACAUACCGUAAAAUUUCUAUUUUGUAUUAACCUGUCAAAUUUAUUGAUUCCCUAGCCACAUCACAACUUUAUAAUUAGAUCUUAAUAUUUCAAAAUUCCAUCUAGGAUGUAUAUACCAUUUAUGAGAUUUCUCUUUAAAUCUCCGAUUCUAAGAAAACAGAGACAAUUGAUGGCCAAGAAACUACCUGUGGAUGGAAAAUGGAGAAGGUGAAGCAAUAUUGUUCCAUUAACUCCAAGAAAGGUCAAGAGGUUGUCACCUUGGUGACCAUCCCCUAGGCAAGGUGUUGGGGUGCUAGGAAGAAGGUGGAGGCUGACCAAUUCCCUCAUCUGACAGGUUGUGUGAACAUAAGGAUUGGCUCUCAAGAUGAAGCAGCCAUUUGAAGCUUCCAAAGACCACUCGAGCAUGACCAUUCAUUAAGAAUUUCAAUUUUGACAGAAGCAGAUGUAACAGGUUUCUUUUUAUCUCUGUUGUUCAUAAAAAAAAACUGCCUAAAGAAGGGUGAAUCUUCUCUGUUAGCCCCUUAACGGGAUAAGACAUUCGAAUUAAGAAAAUGAAAUUGAAGAGGGAUGAUCUGCUUGGCAUAAGACAAGAAGGAGAGCUGAGUACUCUGAAGUGUAAUCUUGCAUGGGAUUUGAGCAGAGGCUAGUGAGAAGAAAAGCAAAAGUAAAUGGUAUUGUGAUCCCGGAAAUGUUCAAUGUAAUCUGCCAAGCUCAUACAUGCUUUAGGUGAGUGAUUUUCAGUGGUGAAAAUUCUAAAAACAAUAGUUUAUAUCAGAUAUUUUGUGAUGUGAACUGAAGCAACAUUCCAAUAAUAAGCCUAUGCCACAAUUCCUGUUCUCCACUUGGGACUGGUAGAGACUGUUAGAGGUUUAGGGGUUACCCUGGCCACAGUAUUGAGGGGUUCAAGGCAAAACCACAUGGAUAUCAAGAAGCAGAUGACUCUCCUCCUCCCUUACGCCACAUCCAAACAAGUGAAGUCUGGAUUUUAAAAAUACAUUCAUUUGUAAUAUUAUUUCUUGGAAUAAAACAACUAUUUCAUACUUGUUGAAUUAAUGACUAAAGAAAAUACAAAAAGACUUUGCACUCACAACCUGUAUUAAUUAAUUCAUCUUGAAAAUAAAACUACUAAUGGUAAUCAUAUUUUAAUGUAAAAUAAAAUCAGUUUAAACAAAACAAGACACCAAUAUUAAUAGCAUGAAAUAUCCAGUUGUCUUAACUGAGUGUGCUAUGUAAAUGCAAUUACCUUAAGUGCUUUCCCUUUUCAUCCAAAAGAGAAUUUGUUUAUACUAUGUAGAGGCAAAUACCAUAUAUAAAAAAUGUCUUCUGGUGAUAAAUGUUUUUCAUUUUAUGCAACCUUCUUGAAUUGCAUUUUGUGUGUUUACAAAUAUAUACCAAGCCUCCCAGAUAUUGGCAAAAGAAAAGUAUAACCUAUCCAAAAAUCUUCCGUUUAUAUAAAAUAUACAAAUUGCUGCUAAGAAAUGACAUAACUUUAUUCUAUCAAUUCUAUAGUCUAAGCGUUUUAAAGUAUAGCUGGAAGGGAUCUCAAAAGGAUCAUCUAAUCCAGUAUUAAGGCAAGAGCUUGUCUAAGCUAUGCUAGACAGUAGGAGGCCCAUUUCUUUUUUUAUAUUUUUGCUUCCUCAGACAUGGGAAACCACUGUUCAUACAAAUUUCACCUAGCAACCAUCAAAGGGUUUGAAAACAAUUAAUAGAUCACUCCCCAGCUGCUACUUCUGAAAGCUAAACACAAAUUCUUUAGCCAUUUCCUGAGAAAACCCAGUUAUCCAGACUUCAACUAUUUUUGUGACUAUUCAGAACUGAGGUUUCUUUUCUUGCAUUUUUAAAAAUGUGAAAACCCAGAGGUAUACAAAACAAGGCAAAAAGAGCAAGGUGAUGCACAUUAGAAGAGAGAAUGUAUCUUAUUACACAAUGGAUUUGGCUUCUUUCACAGCAGCACCAUAAUGCAGACUUAGGCACAUCUCAGGGCUCAUGCUGAAAAUCAGAUCUCGCUCCCCGUUUCAACGAUCUCCAGUUAGUUCUUCCUGAACUUGGCAUUUUAUUCAAGUUUAAACUUGUAUUAUUUUUAUUAAGAGUGGUAAAAUAAUUAGUUUACUAUUACAGGAAAAAAAAAAAAAAGUUUGAAGUCAGUGGCCUGGAUCGGAAUCUCUGCUGGUUGUGUGGCCUGGACUGUAAUGUCCUCAACUCUAAAAUGUGAAAAUUAUUCUCUACAUUCUAGAUUAGAUAAUUUGUGGGACUGUCUUAGAAGCCAUAUAUAAAUCACUACCACAGGGCCUGUUGUAUAAUAGCCAUUCCACUAGAGUUAACUUUCUACCCCAAAUUGCUUCUUCCUGAAAUAUUUGCUGCCUGGUCACUUAAGUUAGAGGUAUAAAGUCAACCUUCAUUAUUUCUUCUUUUUUAGCUUCCACUUCCAGUUAUUUUUUUUUCCUUUCAUCCCUAAGAUAUUAUUUCAAGCCUUCAUUAUCAUACAAUUAGAAGGUUGCAGUUGAUUCCUAGCUUUCAUUCCUCCACUCUUUUCCCUCUCCAUUUUAUUUUAUUUAUUUAUGUUUUGAGACAGGGUCUUGCUCUGUCACCCAGGGUGAAGG
rnacentral:lncRNA from 1 species